CAGUCGUUCGUCAGAUUCUGACGAAUGGAUAUUCUCGUUCACUUUCGUGACAUUUAUAUUCGUGUACUAUCGUGUACUAGAAGUCAGUUCCCGUUUUAUCAUUAUUGGAAUCGAUUGGAAUGGCUCUUAGCUGAAGCUUCUCUCUUCUCUGAAGCUUAUUCUGAAGACUGAACAACAAGGGAAGAGGUAUAAAGCUUUGUCAAGCUUGUUAAGGAGCAAUGGCUAAUAUCCAGCUAUCCCAACAGUGCUCCUCUUGGCUAUACUAACGGACGAGACUGGACAGUUUGAGACACAGGACUGGAGUAUGACCUGCUCAUUCGAGCGUUGCUGGGUAGCUCAGAGACAUCAAGAGAAUCUACGUUUUCUCAAGUAAUGAGUUACGAGUUGGGGCCUGGAAUCAGAGAAGUCCAGCAGCCUGCUAAAUCUUUUUGAAACGUAAUUUGAAGGCAUUCAAUCAUCCUGAAGUUGCCCUGGGUCACUGUAAUUGUGCUGCAGCACAACUGGCAACUCCCCAGGCCUUUGUGAAGCAGCUCCCUAUGUGCAUCUUUUGUGUACUCACUCUGUGCAUUUUCUGUGUACAAAUUUCAAUUAUUGAUUUAUUAAAUAUUUUUGCCGACCACAAA